ensembl:lncRNA
CUUUGUGUCUGGGGGUGGGCGUCCAGGUACACACCGGCUCACUCCUUGGCGGCCGCUUAUCGGGGCCUGGAACCUGGGGCUCGCUCGGACCACUUCGGAGGUGGGGUGCCCCCGGCCUCUCGGCCUGGGGCUCGGUCACUCAGGCACAGCUGGCUGCCGGCGGAGCUCACGGGCGCGUCACUGCAACUCCCCCUGGCUUCUGCUCCGCGGCUGCUGAGUGAGCCCUCAUCUGGGACUCUCCUCAGCUCUUACUGGGACAGUGGCGCGGCUGCCCCUCUGUUGGUCUUCCAUGGUCUCUUGUGUUCUGGGGGCCUCUGGAUGUCUGGAGUUUUGAUCUCCUCCAUACCCGCUUCAUACCCUGGAGGACGGGGCUGUGCCCCCCCCCCACACUCCCUAGCAGAUCGUUACAUGGAGAAACCUUUGGAAUACAAGCACGCUGAUCCACACAGGUAUGCACACAGGUGUACACAUGGGUAUUCACAGACGCGGACUACAGCUUUCUUGGCUGCUGCCUCAAAGCACAUUGUGCGCUGUCUAUCUUGCGUGCUGCACAAUAUCGUUUAUUAUUUAGUAUCUACUGUUAUCUACUGCUAGCUAGUUUAUUGUGAUGGUGCUGUUUUUUUUAUUAUGUUGCUCUUUGCUGUUUGCUUUCUCUUCUGUUUUUUUUCUCCAUACAGGUGACCCAGGUGCUUUGUUUGUUUUUUUUUUGUUUUUUUGUUUUCUUUCUUCCCCCCCUUCUCACCCUCUCUUCUCCCAAUAACCUGCCUCAGUACUAAAUGGAAGCUCCUGUCAGGCAUCAUAUCGGCUAAGAUGAACAGGCACAUGGGUCAAUACAUGAGUGGGGCACAGAAAGGGAUUGGCAAGAAUACCAGAGGCGCAAAACACCGGCUACUGGUAGACAGAACAGUCAGCCGAGACUGCAAGACCAGACUGACCAACCUGUGCACUGCCUGGAUUGAUUACAAGAAGGCCUAUGACUCAAUGCCCCACAGCGGUUUAACAUAUUGCCUGGUUCUGGCAAGGAUUUGGGGAGCACUGGUCCACAGUUUGAAGUAGCUUGUCCAGAACUGCACCUGAGAACAGAUGGUGAUAUAU